ensembl:snoRNA SNORA72 Small nucleolar RNA SNORA72
CUGCGAACAUUCUCGCUGUUCUGAUUUUUGUAAUAAUCAGGGCAGGCUAAACAUUCGCUAUAUUAAGGCCAUGCACGGUGUCCCCAGACCUAGUUCUUUCCCUGGGUCUGGUUUUAUAAGUGCUGGUGAUAAAC